rnacentral:rRNA from 1 species
GAUGAACGCUAGCGGGAGGCUUAAUACAUGCAAGUCGAGCGGUAAGGUUUCGGACCCUAGAGCGGACGAACGGGUGAGUAACGCGUACGAAACCUACCUUUAAGAGAGGAAUAGCCCUGGGAAACUGGGAUUAAUGCCCCAUAGUAUGUAUGAAUCGCAUGGUUUAUAUAUUAAAGUUCCAACGGUAAAAGAUGAGCAUGCGUCCCAUUAGUUAGUUGGUAAGGUAACGGCUUACCAAGACUAUGAUGGGUAGGGGUCCUGAGAGGGAGAUCCCCCACACUGGUACUGAGACACGGACCAGACUCCUACGGGAGGCAGCAGUGAGGAAUAUUGGACAAUGGGCGCAAGCCUGAUCCAGCCAUGCCGCGUGCAGGAAGAAGCAUCUAUGGUGUGUAAACUGCUUUUGUACGGGAAGAAACACUCCUACGUGUAGGAGCUUGACGGUACCGUAAGAAUAAGGAUCGGCUAACUCCGUG